rnacentral:rRNA from 1 species
UACGGAGGGUGCGAGCGUUAAUCGGAAUUACUGGGCGUAAAGCGUGCGUAGGCGGCCCGUUAAGUCAGAUGUGAAAGCCCCGGGCUCAACCUGGGAACUGCAUUUGAAACUGGCGGGCUAGAGUUUGGUAGAGGGGAGUGGAAUUUCAGGUGUAGCGGUGAAAUGCGUAGAUAUCUGAAGGAACACCAGUGGCGAAGGCGACUCCCUGGACCAGAACUGACGCUGAGGUACGAAAGCGUGGGUAGCAAACAGGAUUAGAUCCCCUGGUAGUCCACGCCGUAAACGAUGUCAACUAGCCGUUGGCCCUAUAUACAGGGUUAGUGGCGCAGCUAACGCAUUAAGUUGACCGCCUGGGGAGUACGGCCGCAAGGUUA